AUGUGCUAGAGAGGUCUCCUGAAGGCAGCAGAUGGUUGGUGAUCGCAUGUGGAUCAAGGACUGGAACAUAGCCCCUUUGUGGCCAUGGUGGAAAGGACCUCAGACCAUCAUCCUGACCACCCCCAAGGCUGUAAAGGUAGAAGGAAUCCCAUCCUGGGUCCACCACAGCCAUGUGAAUCCUGCAGCCGCUGAAACCUGGGAGGCAAAACAGAGCCUGGACAACCCCUGCAAAGUGACUCUGAGGAGGAUGACAAGCCCUGCUCCAGUCACACCUGGAAGCUGACUGGUCUACGCACAGCCAAAACAUGAGGAGGAUCAUUGUGGGACUCACUUUCCUUAUAAUUUGGACUUGUAUAGUAAAAACUUCCACUGAUUUUCCUCACAUGUAGGACUGCUCUCAGUGUAUACAUCAGGUUACCGAGGUAGCACAACAAGUUACAACAAUCUUUCUGUUCUAUAGUUACUAUGAAUGCCCAGGAAAUUUAAAAGGAAUAUGUUUAUAUAACGACACUCAGUAUAAGGUAUGUAGCCCAGGAAAUGACUGGCCAGAUGUGUGUUAUGACCCCUUUGAGCCUCCCAUGUCCACAGUUUUUGAAAUAAAAUUAAGGACUGAA
rnacentral:lncRNA from 1 species